UGGGGAAUAUUGGACAAUGGGCGCAAGCCUGAUCCAGCCAUGCCGCGUGUGUGAUGAAGGCCUUAGGGUUGUAAAGCACUUUUGUCCGGGAAGAUAAUGACUGUACCGGAAGAAUAAGCCCCGGCUAACUUCGUGCCAGCAGCCGCGGUAAUACGAAGGGGGCUAGCGUUGCUCGGAAUCACUGGGCGUAAAGAGCACGUAGGCGGAUGAUUAAGUCGGAGGUGAAAGCCCAGGGCUCAACCCUGGAACUGCCUUCGAUACUGAUCGUCUCGAGUUCGGAAGAGGUUGGUGGAACUGCGAGUGUAGAGGUGAAAUUCGUAGAUAUUCGCAAGAACACCAGUGGCGAAGGCGGCCAACUGGUCCGAUACUGACGCUGAGGUGCGAAAGCGUGGGGAGCAAACA
rnacentral:rRNA from 2 species